rnacentral:rRNA from 1 species
AUGGCCUUUCUUCAGCAGGCAAUGCGCAUGAAGGGUUUUAGUGAAACCUGGAGGAACCAAGUGAAUACUCAAGUCCAAAAAGAUAGUGUCGGAAUUAAGGUGAACUAUGACAUCGGUCACUACUUCCAGACACAUAAGGGGUUGAGACAAGGGGAUUCCAUGUCACCUCUUCUGUUCAAUAUUGUGGCAGAUAUAUUGGUCGUCAUUAUUGGCAGGGCCAAGCAGCAUGGCCAUGUAGAGGGUCUAGUUCCUCAUCUAGUUGAUGGAGGAGUGUCCAUUCUACAAUAUGCUAAUGACACUAUUUUAUUCAUGGAACAUGACAUGGCUAAGGCACGUAACAUGAAACUUAUCAUGUGUUUCUUUGAACAAUUGUCUGGCUUAAAAAUUAAUUUUCAUAAGAGCGAGGUGUUCUGUUUUGGGAAGGCCAAAGACGAGGAACAUACCUACAGACAAUUGUUUGGAAGCGAAUUAGGUGCUUUACCAUUCAGUUACUUGGGUAUUCCGAUUCAU